rnacentral:rRNA from 1 species
ACUCCUACGGGAGGCAGCAGUGGGAAUAUUGGACAAUGGGCGCAAGCCUGAUCCAGCCAUGCCGCGUGAGUGAAGAAGGCCCUAGGGUUGUAAAGCUCUUUCGCACGCGACGAUGAUGACGGUAGCGUGAGAAGAAGCCCCGGCUAACUUCGUGCCAGCAGCCGCGGUAAUACGAAGGGGCAAGCGUUGUUCGGAUUUACUGGGCGUAAAGGGCGCGUAGGCGGAUGCGCAAGUCAGAGGUGAAAGCCCUGGGCUCAACCCGGGAACUGCCUUUGAAACUGCACGUCUUGAGUGCGGGAGAGGGUGGCGGAAUACCCAGUGUAGAGGUGAAAUUCGUAGAUAUUGGGUAGAACACCGGUGGCGAAGGCGGCCACCUGGCCCGCAACUGACGCUGAGGCGCGAAAGCGUGGGGAGCAAACAGGAUUAGAUACCCUGGUAGGCUCUGC